rnacentral:rRNA from 1 species
GACGAACGCUGGCGGCGUGCUUAACACAUGCAAGUCGAACGAAGUGGCGCACGGGUGAGUAACGCGUAGUCAACCUGCCCUUCAGAGGGGGACAACAGUUGGAAACGAAUGCUAAUACCGCUUACUUAAGGAGGGGAUUUCGUCUGAUUAGCUAGUUGGAGGGGUAACGGCCCACCAAGGCGCUGAUCAGUAGCCGGUCUGCGAGGAUGAACGGCCACAUUGGGACUGAGACACGGCCCAGACUCCUACGGGAGGCAGCAGUGGGGAAUCUUCCGCAAUGGACGAAAGUCUGACGGAGCAACGCCGCGUGAGUGAUGACGGCCUUCGGGUGGGAAAGCUCUGUUAAUCGGGACGCGGUACCGGAAUAGAAAGCCACGGCUAACUACGUGCCAGCAGCCGCGGUAAUAC